AGCGGAGAGAGGUACGCUUGCUACUGAUCUUAGCGGCGGACGGGUGAGUAAUGCUUAGGAAUCUGCCUAUUAGUGGGGGACAACAUUUCGAAAGGAAUGCUAAUACCGCAUACGUCCUACGGGAGAAAGCAGGGGAUCUUCGGACCUUGCGCUAAUAGAUGAGCCUAAGUCGGAUUAGCUAGUUGGUGGGGUAAAGGCCUACCAAGGCGACGAUCUGUAGCGGGUCUGAGAGGAUGAUCCGCCACACUGGGACUGAGACACGGCCCAGACUCCUACGGGAGGCAGCAGUGGGGAAUAUUGGACAAUGGGCGCAAGCCUGAUCCAGCCAUGCCGCGUGUGUGAAGAAGGCCUUAUGGUUGUAAAGCACUUUAAGCGAGGAGGAGGCUACUUUAGUUAAUACCUAGAGAUAGUGGACGUUACUCGCAGAAUAAGCACCGGCUAACUCUGUGCCAGCAGCCGCGGUAAUACAGAGGGUGCAAGCGUUAAUCGGAUUUACUGGGCGUAAAGCGCGCGUAGGCGGCUAAUUAAGUCAAAUGUGAAAUCCCCGAGCUUAACUUGGGAAUUGCAUUCGAUACUGGUUAGCUAGAGUGUGGGAGAGGAUGGUAGAAUUCCAGGUGUAGCGGUGAAAUGCGUAGAGAUCUGGAGGAAUACCGAUGGCGAAGGCAGCCAUCUGGCCUAACACUGACGCUGAGGUGCGAAAGCAUGGGGAGCAAACAGGAUUAGAUACCCUGGUAGUCCAUGCCGUAAACGAUGUCUACUAGCCGUUGGGGCCUUUGAGGCUUUAGUGGCGCAGCUAACGCGAUAAGUAGACCGCCUGGGGAGUACGGUCGCAAGACUAAAACUCAAAUGAAUUGACGGGGGCCCGCACAAGCGGUGGAGCAUGUGGUUUAAUUCGAUGCAACGCGAAGAACCUUACCUGGCCUUGACAUAGUAAGAACUUUCCAGAGAUGGAUUGGUGCCUUCGGGAACUUACAUACAGGUGCUGCAUGGCUGUCGUCAGCUCGUGUCGUGAGAUGUUGGGUUAAGUCCCGCAACGAGCGCAACCCUUUUCCUUAUUUGCCAGCGAGUAAUGUCGGGAACUUUAAGGAUACUGCCAGUGACAAACUGGAGGAAGGCGGGGACGACGUCAAGUCAUCAUGGCCCUUACGGCCAGGGCUACACACGUGCUACAAUGGUCGGU
rnacentral:rRNA from 1 species